rnacentral:rRNA from 1 species
UCCGGSGACCUCAACCGCCCAAGACGCAUUUGUCUCUCGUCCUAAGGACGCUGCAGCCGGUCUGGAAGUGCCAGCGCGACGGCCUGAAGGCGGGGAGCCGGCAGGUGGCCGGAAGCGUGCCUCGAGCGCGCCUUCGGUUGUUAGCCUUCCUCGCAGUGGCUCGUCUCCAGACCGUGGUGUCGCGAGACCCUUCGGGGUCUCAUCGUCUCCACCCAGAGUCGCGGAACAGGGCCCGGCCAGGGUUCUCUCGUCCGACCGUCGCACUACCACGGAGUGGACGGACGGGCCAGGGUCCCGAAUCGCCGGGACGGAUCCGCGGGGGACCGGAGGCUGGCAGCGAGUAGGUCGGUCACCCACCCGACCCGUCUUGAAACACGGACCAAGGAGUCUAACAUGUGCGCGAGUCAGUGAGUCUUGACUAGGCUCACGGGCGCAAUGAAAGCGAAGGAUCGCCUCAGCGCGAUCUCAGUGGGGAUCCCUUCUCCUCGAGGGAGGGGCGCACCCACGACACGUCCUAUCCGACUCGUCGGUUGUGCGUAGUCUGAGCGUACACGUUGGGACCCGMAAGAUGGUGAACUAUGCCCGGACAGGACGAG